GAAGGAGGCAUCUGACAGUCAGGAGCAGCUCACCCUGGUUGUAUCUAACUUACUGAUCAAGAGUCACUGGAAUGUAUUCAAGCCCUCCCACCUUGGGUUAUAGCUCCGUCCUGGGGUCCCUAAGACCAUCACCCUGGCCCAUCUCCAACAGGCUCAGCUGAGCUCUUCCCUCCCACAAAAGACACCUCUAGGGCCAAGGAGCACAGCUCUGCUCUGCAAGGCUCCUCAUGGACAAAGGAAUCCACUGGGAGGAGCCUUUCGAACAGGACCAUCCUAGUUGCCCAUUAGCUGGGCUCCUUCCUCCUCUGCAGAACUCAUGCAGCCACAGCCCAGUGCUGAGAAGCUUCCCUGCAAUUAAACCCAAAAUGUCUGUUAUUACUCAGAUUAACACCGUCAUCAAUCAUCCACAUUCCAGGAGCGUCUGCAAUUGGUGGGCGCUGCAGAGAGCAUGGAGGUAGACAUGCCUCAUGGGUUUCUAAUCUAAACAGACAGAGCAGAGACAAAGGAAAGGGCAAGCAUGCAUCUGAGACUCUCCAGACUUCCCUUAUGUGCAACUGUCUGAUGAUGAAUCGCAGAAAAAAUUGAGCAAGCAGGAGGGUCCGUCAGUGAGCCCAGGGCCCCUGGCCCUUCCCCGGAGAGUCACAGAAACUGCAGCUGUUGGUCCAGGAGU